GGGGUGGCGCGGUGGUUAGCGCGGUUGCCUCGCUAGAAGGAGGUUCCAGGUUCAAGUCCCGGCUGGCCCA
rnacentral:tRNA from 1 species